rnacentral:lncRNA from 1 species
GGAUAUUAUAAUGGUACAAAGGCAUAUAGACUAAUGUGUUUAGAAACCAAGUAGAUCAUUAAGAGUUGUGACGUAGUGUUUUUAAACCUUAAGAGUGCUUAUUAGCUCUUAAAAAUGUGUUAAAGUAGGAGUAAUGGUGUAUUUAUAGAUAUAUCUCUAAUUUUAGUAAAAAAUAAGACAAAGAUAAUAAAAAUGAAGAUGGUAGAAAUACAAAUCAAGAUGAAGAACCAAAGAAGAUAAAUCAAUAUAUGUCUAUAAUUCCUAAAACAAGCAAUGAAAAAAAUCAAAAUAUGGAAGAUAAUAGUGAUAAUGAAUAUCAACCUUUGAAUAUGAAGAGACAAGUUUCAAGAGAGUAGAAGGUUGUAAGAGACCUUGGAGUGUAUAGAGGUGAAUCUUCAUCAAAUAAAGGAGACAUCAUAUGAG